GCCCCCGUAGCUCAGUUGGAUUAGAGCGUGUCGCUACGGACGACAAGGCCGCAGGUUCGAGCCCUGCCGGGGGUUCCA
rnacentral:tRNA from 1 species